GGGUUGUGAGGUUAAGCGACUAAGCGUACACGGUGGAUGCCUAGGCAGUCAGAGGCGAUGAAGGGCGUGCUAAUCUGCGAAAAGCGUCGGUAAGGUGAUAUGAACCGUUAUAACCGACGAUACCCGAAUGGGGAAACCCAAUGUGAUACGUCACAUUAUCGUUAGAUAAAUACAUAGUCUAACGAGGCGAACCGGGGGAACUGAAACAUCUAAGUACCCCGAGGAAAAGAAAUCAACCGAGAUUCCCCCAGUAGCGGCGAGCGAACGGGGAACAGCCCAGAACCUGAAUCAGUUUGUGUGUUAGUGGAAGCGUCUGGAAGGUCGCACAGUAUAGGGUGAUAGUCCCGUACACAAAAGCACACAGAUUGUGAGUUCGAUGAGUAGGGCGGGACACGUGACAUCCUGUCUGAAUAUGGGGGGACCAUCCUCCAAGGCUAAAUACUCCUGACUGACCGAUAGUGAACCAGUACCGUGAGGGAAAGGCGAAAAGAACCCCGGCGAGGGGAGUGAAAUAGAACCUGAAACCGUGUACGUACAAGCAGUGGGAGCCUACUUGUUAGGUGACUGCGUACCUUUUGUAUAAUGGGUCAGCGACUUAUAUUUUGUAGCAAGGUUAACCGAAUAGGGGAGCCGUAGGGAAACCGAGUCUUAACUGGGCGUCAAGUUGCAAGGUAUAGACCCGAAACCCGGUGAUCUAGCCAUGGGCAGGUUGAAGGUUGGGUAACACUAACUGGAGGACCGAACCGACUAAUGUUGAAAAAUUAGCGGAUGACUUGUGGCUGGGGGUGAAAGGCCAAUCAAACCGGGAGAUAGCUGGUUCUCCCCGAAAGCUAUUUAGGUAGCGCCUCGUGAACUCAUCUUCGGGGGUAGAGCACUGUUUCGACUAGGGGGCCAUCCCGGCUUACCAACUCGAUGCAAACUACGAAUACCGAAGAAUGUUAUCACGGGAGACACACGGCGGGUGCUAACGUCCGUCGUGAAGAGGGAAACAACCCAGACCGCCAGCUAAGGUCCCAAAGUCAUGGUUAAGUGGGAAACGAUGUGGGAAGGCAUAGACAGCCAGGAUGUUGGCUUAGAAGCAGCCAUCAUUUAAAGAAAGCGUAAUAGCUCACUGGUCGAGUCGGCCUGCGCGGAAGAUGUAACGGGGCUAAACCAUGCACCGAAGCUGCGGCAGCGAC
rnacentral:rRNA from 1 species